rnacentral:misc_RNA from 1 species
UCCGGGUUGUAACACGUUACACUUGGCCUCUCCUUGAUUUGCUUACAGAAGGUUUAUUUUUCUGGGUUGCAAUUUGGUUUUCUGGAGAUGACUGGUUCUUUGAUUUUGUUGCUGUGGUUUUCAUGUUUGGAAGGCAGCUAGAAUGAAGCUGGCUUGGCUUUGUUUUGUCCUUUGACUUGAUAUGAGAUGAGGAUCUCUCUGUUCAUUGUUGUGGCUUCCAGCUCUGUGCGUGAGUAAGCAAGCAUUUGCUUCUCUGAUGAUGUUACACUUAUAAUUCUGUUCUUUUCCCAUUUAAGAUAUUUCCUUGUUUUAGAGGAAUUGUGGCUGGCAUUUCCAUAAAUAAGGUUUGCAGAUUUUUUUUUUUCUGUAG